UACGGAGGGUGCAAGCGUUAUCCGGAUUCACUGGGUUUAAAGGGUGCGUAGGAGGGUCUGUAAGUCAGCGGUGAAAUCUCCGAGCUUAACUCGGAAACUGCCAUUGAUACUAUAGAUCUUGAAUACCGUGGAGGUGAGCGGAAUAUGUCAUGUAGCGGUGAAAUGCUUAGGUAUGACAUGGAACACCAAUUGCGAAGGCAGCUCACUACACGCAUAUUGACUCUGAGGCACGAAAGCGUGGGGAUCAAACAGG
rnacentral:rRNA from 1 species